rnacentral:rRNA from 1 species
GACGAACGCUGGCGGCGUGCUUAACACAUGCAAGUCGAACGAGUGGCGAACGGGUGAGUAAUACGUGAGUAACCUGCCCUCCUUUUUGGGAUAAGCCUUGGAAACGGGGUCUAAUACCGGAUAAAGGGGGAUGGGCUCGCGGCCUAUCAGCUUGUUGGUGGGGUGAUGGCUACCAAGGCGUGACGGGUAGCCGGCCUGAGAGGGUGACCGGCCACAUUGGGACUGAGAGACGGCCCAGACUCCUACGGGAGGCAGCAGUGAGGAAUAUGGGUCAAUGGAGGGAAGUCUGAACCAGCCAAGUAGCGUGCAGGAUGACGGCCUAUGGGUUGUAAACUGCUGGGUAUAGGGACGAGGUACCAUAUGAAUAAGGACCGGCUAAUUCCGUGCCAGCAGCCGCGGUAAUAC